UACGGAGGGGGCUAGCGUUUUUCGGAAUUACUGGGCGUAAAGCGCGCGUAGGCGGAUGUUCAAGUCGGGGGUGAAAUCCCGGGGCUCAACCCCGGAACUGCCUCCGAUACUGGACGUCUGGAGGACGGGAGAGGCGAGUGGAAUGCCGAGUGUAGAGGUGAAAUUCGUAGAUAUUCGGCGGAACACCCGUGGCGAAGGCGGCUCGCUGGUCCGUUUCUGACGCUGAGGCGCGAAAGCGUGGGGAGCAAACAGG
rnacentral:rRNA from 1 species